UACGGGGGGGGCAAGCGUUUGUUCGGAAUUACUGGGCGUAAAGGGCGCGUAGGCGGUUCGAUAAGUCAGCUGUGAAAACCAUGGGCUUAACUCAUGGCCUGCAGUUGAGACUGUCGGGCUGGAGUGUGGGAGAGGAGAGUGGAAUUCCUGGUGUAGCGGUGAAAUGCGUAGAUAUCAGGAGGAACACCGGUGGCGAAGGCGGCUCUCUGGACCACAACUGACGCUGAGGCGCGAAAGCUAGGGGAGCAAACAGG
rnacentral:rRNA from 1 species